GACGAACGCUGGCGGCGUGCUUAACACAUGCAAGUCGAACGGAAAGGCCCUGCUUUUGUGGGGUGCUCGAGUGGCGAACGGGUGAGUAACACGUGAGUAACCUGCCCUUGACUUUGGGAUAACUUCAGGAAACUGGGGCUAAUACCGGAUAGGAGCUCCUGCUGCAUGGUGGGGGUUGGAAAGUUUCGGCGGUUGGGGAUGGACUCGCGGCUUAUCAGCUUGUUGGUGGGGUAGUGGCUUACCAAGGCUUUGACGGGUAGCCGGCCUGAGAGGGUGACCGGCAACAUUGGGACUGAGAUACGGACCAGACUACUACGGGAGGCAGCAGUGGGGAAUAUUGCACAAUGGGCGGAAGCCUGAUGCAGCAACGCCGCGUGCGGGAUGACGGCCUUCGGGGUGUAAACCGCUUUCGCCUGUGACGAAGCGUGAGUGACGGUAAUGGGUAAAGAAGCACCGGCUAACUACGUG
rnacentral:rRNA from 1 species